AGCUUUGGGCAGUGGAAGUAUCAUAGCCAAUGAGUUUUACCCGAGGCGCAAUUAUUGCUGAUUGAAAUUUUUCCCAAUACCCCGCCAUGACGACUUGAAAUAUAGUCGGCAUUGGCAAUUUUUGACAGUCUCUACAGAGA
rnacentral:snRNA from 1 species